rnacentral:rRNA from 1 species
CAUGCGAGUCGCGAGAAUUAGAUUCUCGGCGUACCGCUCAGUAACACGUGGGUAACCUGCCCUAUGCUGGAUAAUAACCUCGGGAAACUGAGAAUAAUGAUCCAUAGUUCACUACGCCUGGAACGGUGAGUGGAUGAAAGCUCCGGCGGCAUAGGAUGGGCCUGCGGCGUAUCAGGUUGUAGGGGGUGUACGUACCCUCUAGCCCUCUACGCGUACGGGUGUUGGGAGACAUAGCCCGGAGAUGGAUUUCUGAGACACGAAUCCAGACCCUACGGGGUGCAGCAGGCGCGAAAACUUGGCAAUGCGAGAAAUCGCGACCAGGGAACUCCAAGGUGCAUCGGGGUAAGACCGGGUGCUUUUCUUGACUUCUAAAUAGGUCUUGGAAUAAGGGGUGGGGUAAAGGGACGGUGCCAGCCGCCGCCCGUUAUAUCCCGGCCGCCUCAGGUGGAGGCCUUUUAUGGGGCUAAAAACGUCCCGAAGCGGGCUGGAUCCAUUUCUUGGGGUAAUUAACCAGCUCAACUGGUUGAAUUUUCGAAGGACGGUCGACUUGGAACCGAAAGGUUGGGUACCUCAGGUAGGGUAAUCUGUAUCCUGA